ensembl:snoRNA
AUCCUUUUGUGGUUCCUAGGUGUGAUAAUUGGGUCUUCGGGGAGUUGUCUCCCUCAAAAUUUGUUGCAACGUUUACAAAGUACCCAUUGGAAU